CAGUAGCCACGGGAAUACGGAGGGUGCGAGCGUUAAUCGGAUUUACUGGGCGUAAAGCGUGCGUAGGCGGCUUCUUAAGUCGGAUGUGAAAUCCCUGAGCUUAACUUAGGAAUUGCAUUCGAUACUGGGAAGCUAGAGUAUGGGAGAGGAUGGUAGAAUUCCAGGUGUAGCGGUGAAAUGCGUAGAGAUCUGGAGGAAUACCGAUGGCGAAGGCAGCCAUCUGGCCUAAUACUGACGCUGAGGUACGAAAGCAUGGGGAGCAAACAGGAUUAGAUACCCGAGUAGUCCCUGUCUCUUAUAC
rnacentral:rRNA from 1 species